rnacentral:rRNA from 1 species
UACGGGGGGAGCAAGCGUUGUUCGGAUUUACUGGGCGUAAAGGCGCGUAGGCGGUCAGCACAAGUCAGUUGUGAAAUCUCCGGGCUUAACUCGGAAAGGUCAACUGAUACUGUGCGACUAGAGUGCGGAAGGGCUACUGGAAUUCUCGGUGUAGCGGUGAAAUGCGUAGAUAUCUGGAGGAACACCGGUGGCGAAGGCGGCGUCCUGGACCAACACUGACACUGAGGAGCGAAAGCCAGGGGAGCAAACGGG